rnacentral:rRNA from 1 species
UAAGGAGGGCGCAAGCGUUGUUCGGAAUCACUGGGCGUAAAGCGCGUGGAGGCGGCUUGGCAAGUCGGGUGUGAAAUCCCGAGGCUCAACCUCGGAACUGCACCCGAAACUGCUUGGCUCGAGUCCCGGAGAGGGUGGCGGAAUUCCCGGUGUAGGGGUGAAAUCCGUAGAUACCGGGAGGAACACCAGUGGCGAAGGAGGCCACCUGGGCGGUGACUGACGAUGAGACGCGAAAGCGUGGGGAGCAAACAGG